UACCACUAAAAGAAAGAAGAAAAAAGGGAAUACUUUUAAUAUUUCAUCUAAUACAAAGAAAAAUUAUAUAUGUACUCUUCAAUUGUUAUUCUCAUUUGGCAAAAUGUUACUGAGCAUAAUGAUGAAUUAAGAACAAAAGAUAUAAGUAAAAGCAGACAGCCAUUAGGAACAAGAGGGUGGAACACAUUAUAGUGACCUAUAUAAUACAAGGUAGAAAGUAGUACCAACUAAGGCAAUUCCCAAUAUAAUUGAGAAAUCACAUCUGAGUAUCAGUUUAGAUAGGUUUGCGACUGAAUGGCUCAUUUACCUUUUCAUAUCCCUUUCAACAUCUAUAUUGCUGUACUAGAAAGAGCCACUACUGUCAACUCUGGGAUCACCUUCAUAACCAGUUGGAUAAUAGGCCAAACUGAGACAAUCUGAGUUUCUUUACCAAAAACUAAAUGUAAAAUAUCUAAACUUCAUUAAAUCAGAUGCUUUGGAGACCCACCAAAUUUAGGGUACCAUUGGGGAAAAAAAUGUCUUCAGUAAAAAAAAUAUCUAUGAAGCCUCAGAACAAUUGGCUAGUUUUUCUUGAGUAUCAGAAGGACCUGCCUUUGAAUUCUGUACCUACAACAGUUUCUUAUAAUGAAUAUUUCUCCCUUCUCUGUGAGCUAUUUGUUUAAGAUACUAAUACAAUACACAUACAAUACUCAUAAUAUACUCAAUAAAAAUAUAUACAUUUACUUAAAUCUACUUUCCACAAAAGCUUUUUGUGUUCUGUCAUGUUUACUGAAAAAAAAAGGCACAUUUUGAAAUGUACACAUAUACACACUCCUCUAUAAACUAUUAUUAUUUAGUCUCCAUUGUUAUCCAGUUGUAUAGAUUCAGUCCAUCAGAAGGGUUACACAGGAUUUUAAAGGUCUUCUCCCAUCUAUCAGAGCUGUUGCAUAAAAUAACCUAUAAAUAUAUAUAUAUAUAUAUAUAUAUUUCAGUGUGUUGGGCUAUCAUGUGCAAUUCACUAUACCAAAACCACAAAACUUCUUUUUUUAAAAGGGUAUUUAUUUCAUGUGUAUGGGUGUUUUGUUUACAUGUAUGUAUGUGUACCAUAUAUGUGUACCUGAGGGAAGAACAGGGCGUCAGAUUCCCUGGAACUGGAAUUAGAGGUGGCUGUUAGCUACCAUGUGCUGGGAACAGAACUUGGGUCCUCUACAAGACUAACAAGUGCUCUUAACCUCUGCACCAUCUUUCCAGCUUACAAAAUUUCAUUUAUGUAUUUAUUACGAGAUGGAGUAGUUACAAUGAUAAGAGACAAAAUGAACUAAUAGACCAAAAAAAAAAGUACAGAUGAAAAAUACAAUCAAGUAGACGUAACAACUAUAGAAAAAAAUACACAUAACAGAAGCCUAAAAUAUCCGAAACUAAUAACAAGACAAUGAAAGCAGAAAAUGGACCAUUCAGCUAUGUCAAUACCCCACUUUCAAAAAAGGAUAAAAAGAUUAAAUAGAAACCAGCAGGAAAACAGAUUUGAAUACUAAAAACCAAUUAGACUUACCACAUAAAAAAUACUCAAUCCACCUGAAUAUAUCUAAUGAUUUAAAAAUAUGAUAACCCCCUUGUGAGUUUACUAAUAGUUGACUCUAGAUGCACAAUGCCCUCCAUACACCAGCCUCUCUGAAAACCUAGGGUAAAUGUCAUGGAAGGAUUCUGAGCCUUGGCAAUCAUGACUUCUUUAAAGGCCAUUACUUCAAAUCUCAGUGUUCUGUAACAUAUAUUGAUUCAUGUUCUAAUGCACUCUACCAAUUUCUACCUAAUAAUUGGAGGGGAACUUAUUAUUCUACUUUGCUGUUUUUUUAAUGUUGUUUGUAUUUUUAUGUUUGUUUCAUGUCACUUUGUUUCUGAGUUCUUCUUUUAAUGUCCUUUUUUUAGUAUUAGAUUAUAUGUAUGUGUUUAAUUCCUUUAUUAUACUCACUAUACACUCAUUAUGCAGUAUCCUUCUACACAGUGGAAACCUGGUCUGAGCUAUACUGGAAGUGAGACUCACUAGGUAUCUGGAAGAAAAGACAAGCAGUGACUUUCCCAAAGGACCCAGGCUGUCCUGGAGUGGGAGAUCUCCCUGCCUCACUCUGUUUGGCACAGGGACUGUUUUAAGUUGUACAGGAGCAAGUCUCUAUCCAUUCCACUAUUCAUGCUACUCUAAAGUGAGGACAUGACUGCUCUAAGGUUACAAGGCUUACUCAUUUUAUUCUCCUCCCAGACAGACCCUGGCAAUAAGCGCAUCAAUAUACAUGGUGAUGUACUUGUUCUCUUAAUAUCCCAAAGCUGCUGGAGUUGAAGUGGAAGUUGGCUUAGAUUUAGACUAUUACUAUAUGGUUCUGACCGUCGUGGAAUGAUUCUGAGAGGUUUUGCCCAGGGCACUGAGCACAUGAACUGAGGUUACAUUAUAGAACUAUUGAGUAUUUGAGGAGUAAAACCUUACUCCAACCUAGUCACACUGGAAAAUCACAAACACUUUAACUGAAAGAAUACAGUGGAUAAAAAUAAAUACAUUUUUAAGUCAGUAAGCUAAUAUCAUGUGUCCAUAAGAAACAAAAGAAAUAUGAAAAGCCAAGGCAACCUGACUCUUCCAAAAAUUACCAAUUCCAGUAAUGGAUCCCAGUGAAAAUGAGUAAAAUGUCAGGCCAGAGAAUUCAAAAGGAAGACUAUAAGAAAAUCCAAUGGUAUCAAUCAAGACAACAAAAUAUGAAAGGCUAAAGACAAGGUACCUGCAUGCCUGCAGACAGACAGACAGACCUAUAUAGAAAUUCAUUCUCUCUCUCUCUCUCUCUCUCUCUCUCUCUCUCUCUCUCUCUCCCACAAACACACACACACACACAAAUGAAAAAGCACUAAUAUAUGACCCAGUUUUUAGGUACAUAACCAAAGAAAUUUUAGUGAGCCUGUCACAGAGAUGUUUUCUGCAGCACUGGCCCACAUCACCAUGUUAUAGAAUUAACCUAGGUGUCUAUCAACUGAUGAGUAAACACUGAAAAUAUGGUCACAAUGAAAUGUAUAACUUUGUAUGCUAACAUAAAUAAUGAGUUAGUUUCUGAAGAAAAUGUGUCAUAUACACAUAAAGGAGUUUUAAGAAGCUAUAAAGAACUAGAUUAUGUCAUUUGCUAGGAAAUGGACAUAUCCUACUAAGCAAAAUAAGCCAGAAUCAGGAAAACACUUAUGUGUUUCUAUUUCUAAAUAAAGCCUAGAUUUUACACAGAUACAUAAAACCAAGUAUAUGACAUGAACGCAGAGAAACUGGAGGAAGGAAAGUAUCUAGCAAAAGGAAAUGGGAGAGUAAAUGGAGGAAGUGUAUAAGAGAUGAAUAUGGCCAAAUUACAUGAUACGAUGAAACUGUCUUUACAUAAUCCCCCAGGAGGAAGUAAAAGGGAGACAGAGAUAUGGGAAGAAAUAAAAUAGAUGGCGAUAAGAAAGGAUAGUGAGUGUGAUUUCAUAUGCACCUAUGAAAAUUUCAAAAUGAACCCUGUUUUGUAUGAUUAACAUAUACCAAUUUAAUAGGAUUCACUGAUAUAUGCAACAUUCUUGGAAUAAAAUGAUUUAAAUAAAUCUCUCUCUCUCUUUUUUUUUUUUUUAAUGCAGACUGGGAUACAGAGAGGGCUCAGCAGUUGAGUACUUGAUUCCCAUACCCUAGCAAUAAAUAAUCUCAAAAAUAUUUCAAGUAGACAAUUAAAAGAACUAAAAAUAUUUGAGAAUAAACUUAACCAAGUUAAGUUCACAAAUAUACUCUGAAUAUAUAAAAUACUGCUGAAAAACAUUCAGGGUCUAAAUAAAUAGAAACUGAGCUAGAAUACUUAAUUUGCUCAAGAUAGCCAUACUCCUCAAAUUGUUAUACAAUCAAUGAAAUAUAAUGCCAACAGGGAGUAGUUCAGACAGAGUCUCCAUUCUGUCUUUAGUUCCCCAGGGCCAACAUUACAGGCUUAUACCAAUAUGCUCAGCACUUAAUAUACUAUGUCAAAUGCUUGGUGUACUACUACAAAUAAACAUUGGUAACUUCUACCACUUGUUUAAAACAGGCACUUAUAAGCAUUUACAAACAUACUAAAUGGUUUAGGCUAUUUGAUAAAACUCAAAAUUGUAACCAUUCUGACUCUCCUCCUUUACAAUACAGGAAUUUCUUCUCCUAUAACCUGCUGGUAACAGGUAAGCUGGACAGGAUCCUACUCUACAGAAAUGAUACUGCCAAAUCCUUUGCCCCAAAUACAUUUGCCUUUAUCAGAUAAACACUGUUACUGACUGACUUACCUUA